rnacentral:rRNA from 1 species
UAGAGUUUGAUCCUGGCUCAGGAUGAACGCUAGCGAUAGGCCUUACACAUGCAAGUCGAGGGGCAGCACAUGACGUAGCAAUACAGAUGGUGGCGACCGGCGCACGGGUGAGUAACACGUAUCUAACCUUCCCCUUACUUGGGCAUAGCCUCUGGAAACGGAGAUUAAUUUCCGAUGUGGUGUACAUUUCGCAUGUUUUGCGCACCAAAGAUUUAUCGGUAAGGGAUGGGGAUGCGCUCCAUUAGGUUGUAGGUAGGGUAAUGGCCUACCUAGCCUAUGAUGGAUAGGGGUUCUGAGAGGAAGGUCCCCCACAUUGGAACUGCGACACGGUCCAAACUCCUACGGGAGGCAGCAGUGAGGAAUAUUGGUCAAUGGCCGGAAGGCUGAACCAGCCAAGUAGCGUGCAGGAUGACUGCCUUAUGGGUUGUAAACUGCUUUUUUACGGGAAUAAUUAUGAUCACGUGUGAUUAUUUGCAUGUACCGUAAGAAUAAGGAUCGGCUAACUCCGUGCCAGCAGCCGCGGUAAUACGGAGGAUCCUAGUGUUAUCCGGAUUUAUUGGGUUUAAAGGGAGCGUAGGCGGGAGGUCAAGUCAGCUGUGAAAUGUAUCUGCUUAACGGGUACACUGCAGUUGAAACUGGUUUUCUUGAGUGCGUAAGAGGCAGGCGGAAUUCGUUGUGUAGCGGCGAAAUGCAUAGAUAUACCACAGAACGUCGAUUGCGAAGGCAGCAUACUAAGUUUAUACUGACGCUGAUGCACGAAAGCGUGGGGAUCAAACAGGAUUAGAUACCCUGGUAGUCCACGCCGUAAACUAUGAUUACUCGUUGUUUGCGAUAUACUGUAAGCGACUGCGCGAAAGCAUUAAGUAAUCCACCUGGGGAGUACGUUGGCAACAAUGAAACUCAAAGGAAUUGACGGGGGCCCGCACAAGCGGAGGAACAUGUGGUUUAAUUCGAUGAUACGCGAGGAACCUUACCUGGGCUUAAAUGGGAAGUGACAGUUUUGGAAACAAAAUUUUCUUCGGACACUUUUCAAGGUGCUGCAUGGUUGUCGUCAGCUCGUGCCGUGAGGUGUCGGGUUAAGUCCCAUAACGAGCGCAACCCUUGUCGAUAGUUGCCAGCAUGUAAUGAUGGGGACUCUAUCGAGACUGCCGGUGUAAACCGUGAGGAAGGUGGGGAUGACGUCAAAUCAGCACGGCCCUUACGUCCAGGGCUACACACGUGUUACAAUGGUCGGUACAAUGGGCAGCUACUCAGCGAUGAGAUGCUAAUCUUCAAAACCGAUCUCAGUUCGGAUCGGAGUCUGCAACUCGACUCCGUGAAGCUGGAUUCGCUAGUAAUCGCAUAUCAGCCAUGAUGCGGUGAAUACGUUCCCGGGCCUUGUACACACCGCCCGUCA